UGUUCUUACAGCAUAAAUUCUAAAAAUAUGUAUUUCUCUCCUUCCUUUAAUUAACCUUGGUACUAUAAUAUAUAGUAUUUUCCUGGAUGCCAUCCAAAAAAGAUUAUGACCAUUGUCAAUAAUAAGCCAGAGAAAUGAAAAACUUGAAUGAAACCAAGCUUAUAUUGGAUUAGGUGAAAUUCAAUGCCUUGUAACAGCUCUCCUAGAGUGGCAUUUAUUACCAUGAUGGAUUUGUAUUGGUUCUGGGUCUGGUUCUUAGCCUCAGAAUUCUGGUUUUGUCAGCACCCCUCAAGCACGUGUAUUUUUCAUGACAUGAUUUUAAAUCCAGAACUAAAGGAAAUGUUACAGUGAUAACCUACUAAAUGUGAUCAGCACCUUCUCUCUCUCUAUCAACCUACAGUAAAUUGAUUGACGGGCAUGGAGUCCGAUCAAGGGGAGUUACCUGAAUCAAAUGCUUUAUGUUUUGCUUCAGACUUAAAUAGCCAAGUGCACUCCUCAAUAGAGAUCAUUUUGCACGUUUAAAAUUUGAUAGCUGAAAUCACUUUCUACUAGAAACUGCCAACAAUUGCUCCCAUAUUGCUUUUAAUUUUAUACUAAGUAGCAUGCUAUUUUGCCCUUUCUUUCAUCAGUUUCCCGUUUCUUUGACUCACAAUGUUUCUAAUACUUCCACUUAUUAUUACAUCAAUUUAUUAAAGCCUUAAUGUAGCCAAUCACAUUACAGGCAAGACCUGCUGUUCCAACAUCAUUCUGAUGUACUUUGUGCUUUUCUCACUGUUUAAGGGAAAUAUCAUUUCUCACAUAUUCAAGUUCAGAUUUACCAUAACCCCUAAGUACCUAUGAUACAAUGAUAAAUUUAGAGCAUUAUUUUAUAUUACAAAGACAUUUUAAUUUUUAAUAUUUAAGCAUUUAAAGAUGGCUCAUUUUGUGCAAGAAAGGAACUUACUAGGUGCUGUGAAAGAGACAAAAAUGAAGAAAAUUACCCCUCAUUAUUAAGGACUUCAGUGGGAGGAAGGCAAUCAUAAUACAUCACAUACGGUUCUGUAAUACUUCAUAUAUAAUAUCACCACAAUUUUUCAGAGCUCUGGAGGAGUUAUGUGACUUUUGGAGAAUCACAUGACCAUUUAUAGGGACCAAGACAAACACUGACUCCCAUGUACCUUUUGUUUGUUACUAACCUUAAUGAAUAGCAGAAGAAACGGUGUUAAAAGAUUUUUUUAAAAAACGACUAGUAUUUUAGAAAGAGAGGAGUAAGCAAUUAAUACCAACUGGCUGAGUGUGAAAGAAUGAAUGCUAUUUCAGUAGGUGUAUUACCGACUGAGUUAACGUGAUCAAAGACAUGAAAUCAAAAGCUUAUAAGGGUCAUGAAAUAGUGAAUAAUCUGCUAGAGUUGGAGGGUAAAGUGGGAGUGAUGUGGAAGAAAAGCCUGGAAAAUAUAGUUUGAACAGACAGUAAGCUAAAAUAGAGAGUCAGUACUUUAUUGUGUAGGCAAUUGGAUAUUUUUCAAGAAGAAAGGUAUCAUUUCUGAACUGUGUUUCAGAAAGAUCUCUCUAAUGCCAAUCUAAUAUAUGAAGUAGAAAUGCAAUAGACUGUAGUCUAAGGAAAUUAGUGAAAAGGCUACUAUAAUUACGCAAGUGAAAUACAAUGGAAAUCUGAACUUUAGCACUGUCAUUGGGGGUGGAAGUGAUAGAAGCAAGAUUUGAGAGAAACUUUUGAAAUAAACCAUCUUGGUGAACUACUGGCUGUUGGACAUGAAGAUGAAGAAGUUAAAAAUUACUCCAAAUACUCUGAAGAAGGAGUUACCAUUCUAGAUGGAGGGAAUGUAAGUGAAGAACACGUCCUCUUGGGUUGGGAGGAAGGUAGUGAUGACGGGAGGAUGUAAGCAGGCGAGAAUGAGUUCAUUGUGGUCAAUUUGAAGUAUUCAUAAGACAAUUAUGUGAAGGUAUUCAGCUGUUAGUUGUAUAGUGUUAAGAUGGGAGAUAAAGGCUAAGAUAAUGUUUUGGGAGAGUCCUGGGCAUAGACAUAGUAGAAGAAACUAGAGGAGUUGAUAUGCAUUGUGACAUUGUCAUGAGCACUUAGCACAGUGCAUGGCAAGCUGUAGGAUCUAAAUACAUGUCGUAUGAACAAAUUGAUUUUGACAAGUGCUCUCAAAUCAAGCAUCCAAAAAUCUCAAAGUACUUUAAUAACAUUCCUUGUAUAUAAAAAGUUACCAUCCUGUCUCAAUUUAAACAAUCUUCCAGAAUAAAAAUUUUAAACUAAAUAACCAAGGUGCACUCUGUUCAGAAAGGUUUCCUCCUGCCAGGACAUGAAGUAUUCUACUUAACAAAUAUUCUUUUUUGGUUGACAGACUGUAUCUGACCCUUUAAUUGGAAGUACUGAAAACUAAAACUUUAGCAUGAAACCAAACCAAAUUAUAUCUUUACACUGGUGAUUAAGAAGCAUGCAAACCCAAUCCUCAGCCAACCCCAAAUGUUUCUUCUAGUCCUCAGAAACCCAGAUUUAGUUGCUUUCACACUUCACUGAGGUUUAGGAUUGCAAGGCAUCUUCUGAGUUUUGUCUCAUUGCCCUUGAUUCCUUGCUGUCUUAUAAUACAACUACAAGCCUCAAAAGAACCAAACGAAGCUGUUCUCUUCCAUCCUCACUGCCUUAGAAUGUGUUGUGUUCUUAGCAGAAAUAAGAAGAGGAGCCCUCUUCUUACAGAGUUUCAGUGUAGUCUUGGAGGCCCUCCUUACUCUCCUCCACUGAUUCUACCUUUGGCCCUUGGUGCCUAAGUUUCUCCUCAAUGCCCUUCUCUGCAUGCAAAGCAACUAGACAUCUCUGGGUCACCAGCAUCGCCAAUUUCUCAAAACAGGCCCACACUUAGCUUAGGACCACCCCAGUGCUCCUCAGCCUCUGCAGCCAGGCACCUGCCUCAUAAUUGGGGGACUAUAGAGUUUAUUGUCUAAACCAGGACACUUUUGAGAGUGCUAAAAUGCUAAACCAGAUGGUACUUCAGGACAAAAGGCAUAAACUUAGGAUGUGUGGUUACCCUACCCAUGACUAUAAUACAAUGUGAUAAAUGCAAUAAUAAAAGUUUAAACACUUUGCAAUGGAAACAUUUUGAAUGUAAUGCACCAGGGGGUCAAAAUUUGUUUCCAAUCAAAAACAUCACUAAAUUAUGUUCUAAUCAGCAUCCAUGAUAAAAAACCAUGGCGUUAAGCUCAGGAUAUUUGUAUUAUGCUGCACAGCAGAGCCCUGGCUCUGGGAGGAAGUACUUUUCCAGCUUCUUGGGAAUGUAUUUUGUAGCUCAAAAUUCCUGCAGGGGAGCUCAUUUUGCAGUUUGGUCAAUGCCAUAAGGAAGCAAGUCUCAGAAAUUUCUGAAAAAGUUGUAGAAAUAUUUCUUUGCAAAAAUGAUAAUAAAAAUCCAAAUUAUAGAUCAGAUUUAUCUUACAUUUAUUGUGCUAUGGGCUUUGUAUUAUUUAAUUUAUUUAGCCUCCAGAAGUAUGCUCUGAGGAGAUAAACAUGACCAUUUAUAGAGGUCACAGGCUAGCAAGUCCUGGAUCUGCUGAUUAAUCUCGCUCUGUCUUUGCAGCCCUGAGAGGAUAAGUGCUUUCCAAAGCAGAGGAGCAAUAAAGGCUGAGCCGGGGAGUCAGAAACAACAUUGGUCCAUGCACCAUAAAAUGGUCUCAGGAGGCAGUAGUCAUAUGUUGUUACUUCAGUUCUUCACAAAGGCAAUACAGUACAGAUCUCUGUACUAUAAACGACAAGGACCAGUCACAAUUUCAGUUCUUGUUACAUUGAUAAGACUCCUUCAGGUAAGAGAUUAAAACAUGCCUUUAUUAUUAUAAGGUUAGUGACCAUUUUAAUGGAAUAAAAGGAUUAUUCCUGUUGCAUUGGAGAUAGGAAAUUUGGGGUGUGAAUGUGUGAGGUAGGUGUCUUUUCUCUCCUAUGCCUGUAUUGUUCAAAAGCUCUUUGACAUUAGAAAAAGGUUACCUCUAUAAUCUUAAUAUUAAUAUUUAGUAUAAAAUCUAUGGAGAACUCACAUUAUAUAGGGAGCCAAAAAGUUCAACUCUUUUUUUAAUGGAGAGAAGGUAAGUAGGUGAUCUUCACAGACUGAGAGGUUUUGCCUUUUAACACCAACAACAUAAUACUAUUUAUAUUUGCUCUAUCAUUGUGAUUAACCUCCCUUCCCCCUCCAAAAAAAAACACACUUAGCUUACUCACCUAACAGUAAUGAUAUAUAUCAUUUUAAAAACAAAGAAAUUAAUUUUUUCUACCUAAUGUGCAUGACUGAUGUUGAAAAGAUAGUGAGGGUUACCCAUAUAUUCACACAUGUAAAUUGUGGAAAUAAGAGACAGAGAAAAAACUCAACAGAUAUAAUAUGUAAAGCUGUCAAAAGACUUUCAAAUAGCUAAUUCCUUCAGAUCAUAUAUUUCAAUAUAAGUUGCUGUUUAAACAGAGGUCUCUCAUUUGGUGGGAGGAGCUUUUAAAAGAAAAAAUACAUGAAGGUAAGUAAUAUUACCUUUGCCAUUUGUUAUGAAAUAAAUAUAUCAUGAGGAGUUAUGUUUCAUUAAAAUGUAAUACUUAUAGAUGACAGUUUCAAAUGAUCAGAUAUAAAAUGUAUAUGUUAUGUUUUACCAGGAAGAUUAUACAGUAUUUUUAAUCUUGAUUUUUCAUGACUUCUUGCAAAUAUGCAUUUAUUGCUUUCUAAACCGUAUCUGGGAAUGAAGGAGAAAACAUUGUUUUAUCCGGAGAGUUAGCUGUUCUUCCUUGGUUCAAUCAGGAGUAAGUUCUGAUAUCAUAGAGGGGAAUGUAUUAAGAUAAUUCCUAAAAUAUAACUGUGCUUUUAUUGUUUUGCGUAUGCUGCCAGGAAGUUAAAAACAUUUUGUUUCAAAUAACUGUGUAUGUUUAAAAGUCAAACCUAUUAUUUGCUAUAUUAUUUGUCAUGUGCUAUAAUUUGACAGAGGAGCAAUGUUUUUCCAAAAAGUAAAAUUUUAUAACCAAAGGCCAUCAAUUGUACAAACGACUAAGAGAAUUAAAUUUUAUUAAGUUGGAAAUGUAAUUUAUUCAUUGUAACUGUUUUAAGAGAAAUUAAGUGAGUGCUUUGUAUGUAGUUAUCUUAAAUGUUAUGUGUAUUCUUUUAGAAAACCUUUUACUUGUUUUCCUUCUUUUCACCUUCAGUGUCCUGGCACGCGACUAGCACAAAUCAUACCUUAUCUGUCAUAAUAAAGUAUAGCGUUGGAAAUUCUAAAGAGAAUAAAAAUUACUUAACGUC